rnacentral:rRNA from 1 species
AUAUUUGGCAAUGGGCGCAAGCCUGACCCAGCAACGCCGCGUGAAGGAAGAAGGGUUUCGGAUCGUAAACUUCUGUCCUACAUGAAGAGAUAGAGACCGUAGUGUAGGAGGAAGCCCCGGCCAACUACGUGCCAGCAGCCGCGGUAAUACGUAGGGGGCGAGCGUUGUCCGGAAUGAUUGGGCGUAAAGGGCGCGUAGGCGGCCUGGUAAGUCUGGAGUGAAAGUCCUGUUUUCAAGAUGGGAUUUGCUUUGGAUACUGCUGGGCUUGAGUGCAGGAGAGGUUAUCGGAAUUCCCGGUGUAGCGGUGAAAUGCGUAGAGAUCGGGAGGAACACCAGUGGCGAAGGCGGGUAACUGGACCGAUACUGGCACUGAAGAGCGAAAGCGUGGGGAGCAAAC